GUUGCUUCCGGACCGAAGGCGGCGUCGAAUUGGUACACCUUGCCGUUUCCGGGGCCUGCGGCUGCUGGACACUCGAGGGUGCAGCAUUUUGACGCAGAAUCGAUCGUUACCACGUUCUGCGCAGGUGAAAAAAAUACGAUAGCUCUUUAAUAGCUCUCAAAGUUGCUGUUUCCAGUAUACCGCAAAGUAUACCGUUUGCAGUAUAUAACGAGAGAACGCGAAGACGCAGAGGGAGUAGAAAAAGAAAAAGGAUAGAAACGCGAAAAGUAACGAGGAUCGGAGGAAGAACGGAAAAGAAAUAAGAGGCUAGAACCAAGAAAGAAGAGCGCAAUGGUGUGUAAUAUCACAUCGUAUCAUGUGUAAUAAUGUAAGAUCGAAGUACAGAUAUAGCGCGAUAUACUGCAGCGUGAAUUAAGGUCGCUGUACAUUUACGAAACACCGUGACUUGGAAAAAUAUGUUUUCUUAAGUUCGUAGUGUGCAUGCAUGUAGGUUUCCGUUGUGCAAAUAUUUUUCUGUUUAGUCCAUUCUUAAAAGCGAACUACGCGUAUAAAGGAGGAUAAAUAUUCGCAAAUGUUCCUGCCUUUAUUAAUAACAGGGUUUUUGUAAAUUUCA